rnacentral:rRNA from 1 species
AAUUUUGACCUCAAAUCAGGUAAGGAUACCCGCUGAACUUAAGCAUAUCAAUAAGCGGAGGAAAAGAAACCAACAGGGAUUGCCUCAGUAACGGCGAGUGAAGCGGCAAAAGCUCAAAUUUGAAAUCUAACGCCUUCGGUGUUCGAGUUGUAAUCUGAAGAACUUUUUCUUGAGUAUGUCUUUAUCUAUGUUUCUUGGAACAGGACGUCAUAGAGGGUGAGAACCCCGUAUGAUUUGGACCUCUAUUCGUUGUGGAAUUUGUUCGAAGAGUCGAGUUGUUUGGGAAUGCAGCUCUAAGUGGGUGGUAAAUUCCAUCUAAAGCUAAAUAUUGGCGAGAGACCGAUAGCGAACAAGUACAGUGAUGGAAAGAUGAAAAGAACUCUGAAGAGAGAGUGAAAAAGUACGUGAAAUUGCUGAAAGGGAAGGGCUUUAGGUCAGACUUGGUGUUUAAUGAUUAUCUUCUCUUCUUGAGUUGUGCACUCGUUUUCCACUGGGCCAAUGUCAGUUUUGGCGGCAGAGCACCUCUUGGAAUGUAGCUAUCCUUCGGGUUAGUGUUAUAGACUUGAGACGAUCUGUUUGCCGGGACUGAGGACUGCGCAUUAUUGCUAGGACAUUGGCGUAAUGACCUUAAGCCGCCCGUC